rnacentral:lncRNA from 1 species
AGCUUUUGGCAGAAAUGUCUUUAUUUCUUCUUCAUUUUUGAACGAUAUUUUUGCUAACUAUAGAAUUCUAAGUUGGCAGUUAUUUUCUUUCAGCCCUUUAGAGAUACCAGUCAAUUUUCACAUGAUUUUCUUAAUUUGUUUUGAGGAAUAAACUGUUAGUCUUAAACUUACUCUUUCAAAAGUAAUGGAUCCUUUUUCCCUCUGGUAUUUUAAGAUUUUCUCCUUAUUCUUGGUGUUGAGCCACAGUAUUGUGAUCUGCCUAGGUGUUGGGUUUGUAGCACUUCUUGAAUUAAGUCUCUGCUAUUUCCUUCUAAGUAUGCCUCUGCCCCAUUCUCUCUCUGACAUUAUACUUAGAUUAGUGGCCCUCAAGUGGGGAUGAUUUACUUAUUUUCACCAAGGUAAAUAUACCUUAUGACAAGUAAUUAUUUGACUCAAAAUGUCAAUUGUGCAAAGGUUAGAAACCUUGUAUUAGACUUUUUACCAUGUCUCUGUCUCCUAUAGUCUUCUCCAGGAUUCUUACCUUUUUUUCUCCAUAUUUCACUCUAAAUAUUAUUUUACUAGUCUAUCUCCAAGCUUAUCAAGCUCCUCUUCAGUUUUGUCUAGUCUGCUUCUAAAUUUGUCUGUUCAAUUUUAAUAUCAGAUAUUAGAAUUUUCAGUUCUAUAAUUUCCAUUUGACUAUUUCAUAUGGAUUUGAAUUCUAUAAUAAAAUUCUCUAGGAGUUCCUACGUGGCACAAUGGAAACAGCGGUGUCUUGGGAGCACAGGGACACAGGUUCAAUCCUGACCUGGCACAGUGGGUUAAGAAUCCAGCGUUGCCACAGCUGUGGCUUAGGUUGAAACAGGCUCAGAUCUGAUCCCUGGCCUGGGAACUCCAUAUGUCAUGUGGUAGCCAAAAAAAGAAAAAAAAAAAAAUCUCUAUAUCGCCAUCUAUCUUUUUAAACAUAUUCAUUACAAUUAUUUUUAAGUCAUCUGUAAAAAUUCUAAUAUCUGAGUUACCUGUUUCUCUUAUUGACUGAUAUUCUUUUUCUCAACAUGUCUGAUCAUUUUUAAUGGAAUGUUAGAUACUGUGUAUUAAAAAUGUUCAUGCUUUGGAUGGUGUCAUCUUCUUUCAGAGAGGAUUCAACCUCUCUUUUGGAAGGUAGAAGAUCAGAGACUGAAUUGAUCUGAGACUGGACUGCAUCAUUGAAAGCCGUGGUCUACCUUUGAUUGGCCUCCACUUGUAGAAUAUCACCCUCCAGAGGUCCCAACUGAGAGCAUGGGGUGUCUGCAAUGGUCCCUCCUCUCUCCAAUUUCUAAACUCUUAUUUUUAAAAAUUUCUCGGCAUCACAUAAUCUGCUGUGCUUUGUAGCUGCUUUCUGUUUAGCCUUUCAGCCUCUUGCCCUACACAGCUUAGUUUUCCAGUGCCUGGAGAAAAAUCUGGUGCCAAAUGUCAGGCUUGCUUCUCUACACUUUCCCUCUCUCCUUGGUCUUCAAGAGAAUCUUGGCCCUCAAGCUCUAGCUUCCAAUUUUUUGCUCUCUAGCCCUUAAUAUUUCCUAACACUCUACCACCUCCCUGUCCAUGAGAAGUGUUCCUCUGACUAGCUUCUCAACCUCCUUCUUAUGCCAAAAACGGCCAAAUACGUUCAUCUCACUGAACUUCCUUUUUCUCCAGGAUCUGUCCCCUCAAGUCCUUGUUGUGUCAGUAGUUACCUUAUGCCAUCGGAGAUUUUUAAAAAAAAUCAAGCUCUAGUUGUUCUUGGCAGGAGGUUAAGUCCUCCACAAGCUACUGCAUCACAGCCAGAGGCAGAAGCCUAUACUUAGAAAUUAGGUUAGACAUAAGGAAAAUACUUAUUCAUUUUUCUGUAUUAUUGGAUGCUCUACUGUGUCAUCCAAAGCUAGUAGUAAUCCCCUGUCCCCUUUAAAAGCCAGAAGAAAUUUCCAAGGAACUUUGACAAUUAAAGAGGCAUGCAUAAUAAGGAGGGGGCAUAGGGGGAGAGGCAACGAUACAAAAUGAUUUUUCAUGAUUUCCCGUGACUCCGUCAAUCUUUAAUUCCUGCCAAUACUCAAAUACUCAGAAUUUGAACAAAGCCUCCAUUUGCUUCCCACGGUUCUCACUUUGGUUUGCACAUAACUCAGAGAUGGAAGAUUGCAAUUUGAAGCAGAAGAACUAAAACAUAGGAGCUACUUGUUUACAUGAUGUUUCCAGUUUGCUUAUAGUCAGGAAAUACAGUAUGUUUUCUUUUAAAUUCCAUUGAGUGAAGCUCUUCUCACUAAAUCUAGAAAACGAAUUUUUAGGAAUAGGAAGAAGAGUUGAAAGAGAUUUCAUAUAGUCCAUGAAUUUCAAAUGAUGGUUUUCCAGACACAUUACACUCAGGUCACCUCAAGCCUUUGCCAACCUAUUAUAAGAAGAAAAAUGGAAUCCUAUGUAUCAUGACAUGCAGUCACUGAAAAAGUCUUAAGCUUACUUCCUGUCUAAUACUAAGUGUGUAUAUUAAGAAGAGGUGAAUUUACAGGUGUGAAACCUCAGUUUAAUGGCCAGGGAGAUUAUGAUCAUAAUUUUGCAGGCCCUGUGGAAGACAGACAGGGAUGGCCAUUCCCUAGAGAUGGAUUCAUCAAGUGCAGGAAGCCUUCCCAGCAGGAGGCCCACACGCUGCAUCCUGAAGCAGCUGGCUUCUUGUCUGCAGCAUAUUUCUGCUCUUGGGUGGGGGUGGGACAAGGGACGACAUAAGAGGCACUUCUGUGAAGUGGUUCCUGUGUGGUAAGACUAUUUUCUCUCCAUCAUCCACCUCGGGUGCAUCUAUUUCAGAUGAGCCCUGAGCUUGUGGAUCUGAGAAUCCUUUGCAGAAGAGCAUGAGGUGGUCCCAAGAAUACUGAACUGUGGGAUCAGAUGCCCUUAGCUAAUUAUUUGACCUUGGGUGAGUCCUUCAAAGUCAAUUUGUGCCUGAGUGUUCUCUAUACGAAAUGAGGGGAUGUGAGCAGAUGACCCCAACAAUCUCAUCCAGUUGGAAAAGACCAUGGGCCGAGGAUCCCUGUUGGACAGUAAAGAUGCAGGACAGCAGGAAAGGAAAGGUAUCUGAUUAUUCAUGUAGAGAGUCUGCACUGGGAUGAGGAACUUCUCAACAGGCCAGAGUUUUUGGCUUUUUCUCAGUCUUCUGUCAUUCCACAUUUUGCUGUGAAGAUACAGAUUGAUUCACACAUGCCUUGUGCAUUUGUCUUUUCUCAUUUUACCAUAUAUUACUCAACAAAAUAUGCCAGAAUCAUUUAAAAACUGAAAAUAUAACUUAUUGUCUACUCAGCAUCAAAGCAUAUGUUAAAAUUCUUAUAAUACUCAUUUUUAAAUCAUCUUUAUGUAACCCACAUAAAGCUGAGCUACCUAGUGUUCCAGCUCAACACACAAUUAAAUUUAGAAGAGAUCUAAGACUGGCAUUCAAGAGAAAUAUCAAAAAACUUAUCUCUUGAAGUCUGAGAAAAUGGCAAAGGGGAGUGGCAAUGUAUAGCGUACAGGAAAAAAAAAACUUCACGAUUUGCUUGAAACCAUUUGUCCAAAAUUUCGCUCAUCACAACACGGCAGUCUUCAUGAAAUCUCUCUUCACACCAUCUCAAAACUGCCCCAAAUGUUCCUAAACUCAGCUGCCAACAGUUCUCACAUUUUUCUAAUACCACCUUUCUCCCAUGAUUCUAGAUCUCUGCUUUUCCUCUAGCUCUUCUCUAAGUCAACUUUUCUGAGGCUCAUUUUGGUCCUCUUUUCACCAGUUAUCCCGAUCAGCACCACAAACCUCAGGGCCCAGCAGCCACCACGGAAGUCCCCUUUAGAAACCACACUUGUCGGCAGCAGGCAGAAAGGGGGCUGGAGGCAGAGAGGAGUGCAAACACUUAUAUUUUGAAACUCUGUAACAAUAUCUCUCAUCUCUGUACUAUAAAAGUUCAGUUUAAAAAAAGGUACAAGCACAUAUUCCAUCAAUUUACCUUUGAUCCUCCAACCCUAAGAAGAAACUUAUGGGUAUGCAGUUUCUUUACUAGCAGAUAACCAAAAAGAGAUUACCUAAAAGCAAAAUGUUCUGAUUGGAUUCCAAAUAUGUGUAAACCAUAUUUAUGUUGACAUGUUUGAUAGAGUUAUAUGUGGGAGUUUUAGCAGCAGGAAAUUCUUUCUAAUAAUAAUAAUGACAGCAAAUAAUUAGUUAGCAAUUCACCACAUUCAAAGCAUUUUCCCACAAGUACCUCACUUGACCCUGGCAGCUACCUGCAAGAUGUGUAUGGGUUUAUAUUUUAUACCUGGGAAUGGAGGCUCAGAAAGGUGAAGGGACUUGCCCAGGUACUUACAGGUUAGAGUUGCAACUGCCUCUAGGUCUUAUGAUUCCCAGUUCCAGAAAUUAACCAUCUCACUGAACUUCUACCUUUAUUUUUUUUCAUUUUCAUAUGUGUGUGUGUGUGUACGCAAGCACACACACGUGCACACACACACACAGAAGCUAACUGAAACAGGGCCAAAUAUUACAUAUGUGCAGAAUGUUCUCUCUAUAUAUACAAUCAUGUAUUAAAUCAACAAAAUCCACAUAGCCACUCAGUUUCUGUUUCCAGAAGAAGCCCUGACCUUAUAACAGAAUAAACACUACUGCUGGGCCAGAGCUACGGAGCCAGCUUCAGGCUUCCUCCUGCACCAAUGUGCUUUGUUUUUGAAAGCACUUGCCAUUCACAUUACUACUAUUUUCAUUUUCUUGAUCAUCCAAACCUCAAAGGAAAGAGGCUAAUGAUAUUCCCCAGCCCCUCCCUCACCCCACUCGUGCUGGGCAUGGAAGCAGCUCAGAUUGACUGAAUUGCCUCUGCAAGCCUUUCAGGGACAUUGAUGGAGUUGCUACUAUACACAGCUGGAGUUGCCAUUUGCAUCUCACCCUGUCUUACUUUUUUUC